rnacentral:misc_RNA from 1 species
ACGAGAUGCUCGAUAGACAUUGUCAGUCAAUGACGAUGCCCAAAGAAAUGGACGCUGCCCCAUAACCGAUGGAGGUCAUAGACGAAAUCUGAUUCUUUGAACCGCAUAGACGAAAUCUGAUUGAAAGAUGGCAAGCGAGUCGAGUUAGGAAAAGAGAGAAUCAAGCAAAUUAGUGAUGACAUUUGCUUCUUUCCUUCAAAAACGAAUUACUACUUCUCGCUUGGAAGCCACAA